rnacentral:rRNA from 1 species
UUUUAAGAGACAGCAGUCGCCACGGGAAUACGUAGGGUGCAAGCGUUAAUCGGAAUUACUGGGCGUAAAGCGUGCGCAGGCGGUUAUAUAAGACAGAUGUGAAAUCCCCGGGCUCAACCUGGGAACUGCAUUUGUGACUGUAUAGCUAGAGUACGGCAGAGGGGGAUGGAAUUCCGCGUGUAGCAGUGAAAUGCGUAGAUAUGCGGAGGAACACCGAUGGCGAAGGCAAUCCCCUGGGCCUGUACUGACGCUCAUGCACGAAAGCGUGGGGAGCAAACAGGAUUAGAUACCCCCGUAGUCCCUGUCUCUUAUAA